ACGAACGCUGGCGGCGUGCUUAACCCCUGCAAGUCGAACGGAAAGGCCCGGCUUUUGUGGGGUGCUCGAGUGGCGAACGGGUGAGUAACACGUGAGUAACCUGCCCUUGACUUUGGGAUAACUUCAGGAAACUGGGGCUAAUACCGGAUAGGAGCUCCUGCUGCAUGGUGGGGGUUGGAAAGUUUCGGCGGUUGGGGAUGGACUCGCGGCUUAUCAGCUUGUUGGUGGGGUAGUGGCUUACCAAGGCUUUGACGGGUAGCCGGCCUGAGAGGGUGACCGGCCACAUUGGGACUGAGAUACGGCCCAGACUCCUACGGGAGGCAGCAGUGGGGAAUAUUGCACAAUGGGCGGAAGCCUGAUGCAGCAACGCCGCGUGCGGGAUGACGGCCUUCGGGUUGUAAACCGCUUUCGCCUGUGACGAAGCGUGAGUGACGGUAAUGGGUAAAGAAGCACCGGCUAACUACGUG
rnacentral:rRNA from 1 species